GAGUUUGAUCGUGGCUCAGGAUGAACGCUAGCGGCAGGCUUAAUACAUGCAAGUCGAGGGGCAGCAGGUUCCGAGCAAUUCGGAAUGCUGGCGACCGGCAAACGGGUGCGGAACACGUACAGAACCUUCCUUUAAGUGGGGAAUAGCCCAGGGAAACUUGGAUUAAUACCCCGUAAUAUAAUAGAGUGGCAUCACUUUGUUAUUAUAGCUCCGUACGCUUGAAGAUGGCUGUGCGGCUGAUUUAGGUAGUUGGCGGGGUAACGGCCCACCAAGCCUACGAUCAGUAACUGGUGUGAGAGCACGACCAGUCACACGGGCACUGAGACACGGGCCCGACUCCUACGGGAGGCAGCAGUAAGGAAUAUUGGGCAAUGGACGCAAGUCUGACCCAGCCAUGCCGCGUGGAGGAUG
rnacentral:rRNA from 1 species